ACUUCCUGUGGCUCAGUUGGUAGAGCAUUGAGCUUGUGAUACAAAGCUUGUGGGAUCGAAUACCAGGGAAGUU